ACUCCUACGGGAGGCAGCAGUGGGGAAUUUUGGACAAUGGGCGAAAGCCUGAUCCAGCAAUGCCGCGUGAGUGAAGAAGGCCUUCGGGUUGUAAAGCUCUUUUGUCAGGGAAGAAACGGUGAAAGCUAAUAUCUUUUGCUAAUGACGGUACCUGAAGAAUAAGCACCGGCUAACUACGUGCCAGCAGCCGCGGUAAUACGUAGGGUGCAAGCGUUAAUCGGAAUUACUGGGCGUAAAGCGUGCGCAGGCGGUUUUGUAAGUCUGAUGUGAAAUCCCCGGGCUCAACCUGGGAAUUGCAUUGGAGACUGCAAGGCUAGAAUCUGGCAGAGGGGGGUAGAAUUCCACGUGUAGCAGUGAAAUGCGUAGAUAUGUGGAGGAACACCGAUGGCGAAGGCAGCCCCCUGGGUCAAGAUUGACGCUCAUGCACGAAAGCGUGGGGAGCAAACAGGAUGAGAAACCCGAGUAGUCCCAUGA
rnacentral:rRNA from 1 species